rnacentral:lncRNA from 1 species
GGGCUAAUUUUUUUGUUUUUUGUUUUUUAUACAGGGGAUCAAACGCCUGGUGCUUGUGAGGCAGGUGUGGGCACUUCUGAGCUAAAUCCCCGCCCACUUGGCCUGGAUUCGGAGAGAAUCCAGAAGCCUUACGGCAGAGGAGGAAGCAUCAAAAUGGCGGAGGCCCAGGAAGGUCGAGAAGAUGAGUUUUUGGAGAUCUUAAAUGAACUCCUGGUCCUCUUGGCACACUGGAGGGACAGGUGGGAUGGAUCCCUGGCAUCGUGGUGAUGAGAGCACGCCUGUGAUCUGGAUACAGUUUUCUCUAAAAACUCCAAAACUAUUUCCUCCAAGAACAUUUGUACCAAUUUAUACUACCAAUAAUACAGCCUGAACACCCAGCAGAGAAAGAACCUUCUCCUGAACAUGGACAUGAUAUGCAGCUCUCCCACCUCCUCCUCCUCACCCCGCAGUGAUUUUUGACUUGCAGAUGUGAACUGUAAUUUGCAGGCUCUAUAACUGUGAUUCUGCCUCACAGACUUAUCACCGAACUGGCGCUUUUUCUAACACUCUUUCACCUCUUUAUUUCUCACAGUCAUGGGAUCACACAAUUGUGAGGGUGGUUUUCAGUAUGUGAUUUAAGGCUUGAAGAGCCAAAAAUCAAAUGGAACAACAACAACAACAACAACAACAAAAAUGGCUGCAGAUGCAAUUUUCCUGGCUUCCGGGAGCAGUGUAAGAAAGUGAAGAUGUUAUAAGCUUUGUGGUUAUUCAAAUGUAACCCAUACACUCAGCAUCUGUGGGAGGUUGGGCCAGGUUUGACGGUUUACUCUCUGGGAGCUGCCCUGAAAAAUGGGCAUUGCGAUGCAUGGUCCAAAGGUUAGUGUUAACUGCAUGAAAAGAAAGCAGCCAGCCUGUGCCUAGAGGUGCUCAAUACAUAGAAUGAGCAUCCUUAAUCUAAAAGUAUGAAAUUUGAGAUGCUUCAAAUUCCAACAGUUUUGAGCAUCAUUUCUGCACUCAAAAAGUUUUUAUUUCAUAAGCCAGAAAGACAAGUUUCACAUGUCUUUGGUAAUAUAUGGAGUCUUAAAAAAAAGGUAGACUAUUAGGCAGGAGGCAAAGAAUAAAAGGGAGGUGGUGGGUGUAAGGAAUGUGAUGGGGGCA